rnacentral:rRNA from 1 species
UUGCUCUUAUGGGUGGCGAGUGGCGGACGGGUGAGGAAUACAUCGGAAUCUACCUUUUCGUGGGGGAUAACGUAGGGAAACUUACGCUAAUACCGCAUACGACCUUCGGGUGAAAGCAGGGGACCUUCGGGCCUUGCGCGGAUAGAUGAGCCGAUGUCGGAUUAGCUAGUUGGCGGGGUAAAGGCCCACCAAGGCGACGAUCCGUAGCUGGUCUGAGAGGAUGAUCAGCCACACUGGAACUGAGACACGGUCCAGACUCCUACGGGAGGCAGCAGUGGGGAAUAUUGGACAAUGGGCGCAAGCCUGAUCCAGCCAUACCGCGUGGGUGAAGAAGGCCUUCGGGUUGUAAAGCCCUUUUGUUGGGAAAGAAAAGCAGUCGAUUAAUACUCGGUUGUUCUGACGGUACCCAAAGAAUAAGCACCGGCUAACUUCG